rnacentral:rRNA from 1 species
GAUGAACGCUGGCGGCGUGCCUAACACAUGCAAGUCGAGCGAGAUAAAUGUGAGUGGAGACUUCGGUCAAAGCAAUCAUUUUGAAAGCGGCGGACGGGUGAGUAACGCGUGAGCAAUCUGCCCCAUACAAAGGGAUACCCACUGGAAACGGUGAUGAAUACCUUAUAAGACCACGAAGUCGCCUGGCUUAGUGGCCCAAGAUUUAUCGGUAUGGGAUGAGGUUGCGUCUGAUUAGCUAGUUGGCGAGGUAAUGGCUCACCAAGGCGACGAUCAGUAGCCGACCUGAGAGGGUGAACGGCCACACUGGAACUGAGACACGGUCCAGACCCCUACGGGAGGCAGCAGUGGGGAAUAUUGCACAAUGGGCGCAAGCCUGAUGCAGCAACGCCGCGUGAAUGAUGAAGGCCUUCGGGUCGUAAAGUUCUGUCCUAAGGGAAGAAUACAGUGACGGUACCUUAGGAGGAAGCCCCGGCUAACUACGUGCCAGCAGCCGCAGUAA